rnacentral:misc_RNA from 1 species
UCUCCGUAGGUGAACCUGCGGAGGGAUCAUUACUGAGUGAGGGCCUCUGGCCCGACCUCCAACCCUUUGAUGUCCGACUCUGUUGCCUCGGGGGCGACCCGGCCUUCGGGCCCGGGGCCCCCCGUGGUCCACUCAACUCUGCAUCUUUGCGUCUGAGUAAACAUUAAAUGAAACAAAACUUUCGACAACGGAUCUCUUGGUUCUG